UGCCCCAUGGUGUAAUGGUAGCACAAGUGAUUCUGGUUCAUUUUGUCGAGGUUCAAAUCCUUGUGGGGCAGCCA
rnacentral:tRNA from 1 species